rnacentral:lncRNA from 10 species
ACUGGUAUUAUCUGUAUUAAGAUGACCACAUCAUAGUUGCUGUCUUUAGGUGGUGAACCAUCUAGCCGGGAGUCAUAGUUGUGUGGGGAAAUAAGUGCAGAGGCGGGACGGGGAGCAUACCGUGGGAGACAAGGAUCAUUCCUCUUGAAGUUGGGGAUUCAGGAAAGGCUAUAGAUCCAGUGAGGCUUAAGCUGAGCCUUGGGAGGUGAGCACAUCUCUGCUGGACAGGUUGCGGGGUGGUGUUGGGGGUGGUGUAGGAGCACUCCUGGCAGAGAAUGCAUCUUGGACUAAGCUCAGGGCAGGUGAGAAAUCGCCUGGUCUGCUGGCAGCACGGUAUUGCUGGAAGUUGCGGUGUGUAGGGGGGAUGCAGAGGCUUGCAGGAGAAAAGUGAGAAGAAGGGCUGGAGCCGGCUCAUCACGCGGCUAGUAGGCCCACUGAGGAGUGUGGACUUUAUCAUGGCAGUAGUGGGACCCUCUGAAAGUCCCCUCUGAAUAUGGAGUGGGCGGUGGGUUGGAGAGAAUGUGCAGGCUGGAGGCAAGCGUGUCCGUGAGAAGGCCAAGGCUGUGCCCUGGGAUUGGAGGAUGGGCCCUGGGUCUGGGGAUUGGGGAUGGGGAAUGGGACAGACUCAAGGCUACUUAGGAAGCAGUCUCAGUCGGCCUUGGUGGCUCCCUGAAUGUGGGAGAGGAGGGGCAGGGAGGGCUCUGAGUGGCUCCUGGUAGCCAGUGGCCGGCUGAUUGCCUGGCCUUCCUCUUGCCGUAGCAAUGGAGGCCAUAUUUGGUUCUGUCAAAACCUCUCUAAGCUGAAAUCAUCUGAUCUUCUUCCCAGCUUCCAGCCCCACACCCUCCCCACCACGUCUGGCUAUGAAGCCAGCCUCCCCAUCUCACGCCCACAUUCCUAUUCCUUUAGUCAGUCGCUCAACAAACCUUCACCGAGUCCCUACUAUGUGCCAGGUGCUGUGCUGGAACCUAAGGGAUACAGCUAUGAACAAGACAGUCCUGCCUUUAUGGAGCUCACAAUCUGAAGAACAAUCCGGAUAACAGUGACCAACAAAGACGUGCAAAAUGUCAGAGGGCCACAAACUGCAGAGGACAUUAAAAAAGAACAUAAAAAAUAUAAAAACUGUGUCCCCAUCACCCAGUUCAAGAACGAAAGCAUAUAAAUGUUUUCUCGACCUGGCGCAGUGGCUCACGUCUAUAAUCCCAGCACUUUGGGAGGCCUAGGCAGGCGAAUCACUUGAAGUCAGGAGUUCGAGACCAGCCUGGCCAACAUAGUGAAACCCCACUUCUACUAAAAAUACAAAAAAUAGCCCGGCAUGAUGGUGUGUGCCUGUAAUCCCAGCUACUCGGGUGUCUGAGGCAGGAGAAUUGCUUGAACCCAAGAGGUGGAGGAUGUAGUGAGCUGAGAUGGUACCACUGCACUCCAGCUUAGGCGACAGAAUGAAUGAAUGAAUGAAUAAAUAAAUAAAUAAAUGCUUUAUCUCUACUCAACUUUAGUCAGAAUCUUCUGCCUCCAACCCAUCCCCUGCACUGCUCACCAGCUGUGAGAGAUCCAGAGAAAAUAUAAGUAGAAUCCUGCCACAACCCUGCUUGAAAAUCCCCACCUAUAAGAUAAAGUCAGACAUAUCCCUUGACAUCCAGGCCC